GACGAACGCUGGCGGCGUGCCUAAUACAUGCAAGUUGAGCGCUGAAGGUUGGUACUUGUACCAACUGGAUGAGCAGCGAACGGGUGAGUAACGCGUGGGGAAUCUGCCUUUGAGCGGGGGACAACAUUUGGAAACGAAUGCUAAUACCGCAUAAAAACUUUAAACACAAGUUUUAAGUUUGAAAGAUGCAAUUGCAUCACUCAAAGAUGAUCCCGCGUUGUAUUAGCUAGUUGGUGAGGUAAAGGCUCACCAAGGCGAUGAUACAUAGCCGACCUGAGAGGGUGAUCGGCCACAUUGGGACUGAGACACGGCCCAAACUCCUACGGGAGGCAGCAGUAGGGAAUCUUCGGCAAUGGACGAAAGUCUGACCGAGCAACGCCGCGUGAGUGAAGAAGGUUGUCGGAUCGUAAAACUCUGUUGCUAGAGAAGAACGCUGGUGAGAGUGGAAAGCUCAUCAAGUGACGGUAACUACCCAGAAAGGGACGGCUAACUACGUG
rnacentral:rRNA from 1 species